rnacentral:lncRNA from 1 species
AAAAAUAAUAGAAAAAAUAACGCCAAAAAUAACAGAAAAAAUAAUGCCAAAAAUAAUAAGAAAAAUGGUCUAGAAAAAUAAUAGAAAAAAUGGUCUAGAAAAAUAUGAGCCCGCGUUUUUGAGGGAAAAUUCGGGAAACCGCUGACCGGAAGUUGGGUGAGAUCGCGGGCCGAAAAAGUGGUCUAGAACCCUCAUUCCCUAUAC